rnacentral:tmRNA from 1 species
GGGGCUGACAGGAAUUGACAGCUUGUGAAAUUGAUAAGUAAGCAUGCCGAGCGCGGUUAGCAUUCUCGUAAAACACUGCUCUCAACCGCCUAACUGGCAACACUGACUACGCGUUAGCCGCUUAAUCUAGGAUUAAUCCGCUUUCUACUCCGAGGGGUCCUGCUCACCCGACUUCUCACCAGGGGUAUCACAUGGAGAGUGCUUUGCAACAGGGUUCUGAUGUUGCAACUAAGACCACCUGAACUACGUUUUUAAGUAGCGAGUGUUAAGCAGCUUAAGAGCCGACAAUCAAAUAACACUAAGCAUGUAGAAAGUUUAUUGAUUGCUUGUCUGGACGCGGGUUCAAAUCCCGCCAGCUCCACUU